CUACGUGCCAGCAGCCGCGGUAAUACGUAGGGUGCGAGCGUUAAUCGGAAUUACUGGGCGUAAAGCGAGCGCAGACGGUUACUUAAGCAGGAUGUGAAAUCCCCGGGCUCAACCUGGGAACUGCGUUCUGAACUGGGUGACUAGAGUGUGUCAGAGGGAGGUAGAAUUCCACGUGUAGCAGUGAAAUGCGUAGAGAUGUGGAGGAAUACCGAUGGCGAAGGCAGCCUCCUGGGAUAACACUGACGUUCAUGCUCGAAAGCGUGGGUAGCAAACAGGAUUAGAUACCCUGGUAGUCCACGCCCUAAACGAUGUCAAUUAGCUGUUGGGCAACUUGAUUGCUUAGUAGCGUAGCUAACGCGUGAAAUUGACCGCCUGGGGAGUACGGUCGCAAGAUUAAAACUCAAAGGAAUUGACGGGGACCCGCACAAGCGGUGGAUGAUGUGGAUUAAUUCGGUGCAACGCGAAGAACCUUACCUGGUCUUGACAU
rnacentral:rRNA from 1 species